rnacentral:rRNA from 1 species
UGGGGAAUAUUGGACAAUGGGCGCAAGCCUGAUCCAGCCAUGCCGCGUGAGUGAUGAAGGCCCUAGGGUUGUAAAGCUCUUUCACCGGUGAAGAUAAUGACGGUAACCGGAGAAGAAGCCCCGGCUAACUUCGUGCCAGCAGCCGCGGUAAUACGAAGGGGGCUAGCGUUGUUCGGAUUUACUGGGCGUAAAGCGCACGUAAGCGGACUAUUAAGUCAGGGGUGAAAUCCCGGGGCUCAACCCCGGAACUGCCUUUGAUACUGGUAGUCUUGAGUUCGAGAGAGGUGAGUGGAAUUCCGAGUGUAGAGGUGAAAUUCGUAGAUAUUCGGAGGAACACCAGUGGCGAAGGCGGCUCACUGGCUCGAUACUGACGCUGAGGUGCGAAAGCGUGGGGAGCAAACAGG